rnacentral:misc_RNA from 1 species
CGCCUCAGAAACCAAAACUGGAGUGAGUGAAGAGGGCACAAACUCAAUUAUAUUAGAAUGAAAAGAAAACUAUUGGGUUUGAAAAGAUAGAUCUUUUAGCUGUUGAGGAUCAACCUCUGACGGCGCCCGAGUAAGGGCACACUGUGCAGUUGUGGUCUUUGGGAAAGCAAUGACAUCCCUGAUGGAAUUAGCAUCGGCCAACAACAUAACCAAUCUAUCCAAACCAUAUGCAAUUCCCCCAUGU